GGCACGCACCCUGCCCAAUCCCAAUCCCCCCUCGUCUCCUCCGCGCCCGGCUCGAGUCCCCACGGCUUUAUCCCAUCCUCUCCAGCGAGGCCCCCACAUCCCUCUCCCUCCCACACCGAAAAGGCCGCGCGCGGCGACACGGCCUGAUCCACCCCGCCUCCACGUUCGCCACGUGCGCGCCACCUCUCCCGGCCCCGGCCGCCUCCGUCGCGAGAUCGCGAGCCCGCCGUUCGCAGGUCGCGGCAGCGAGUAGGAGGCGGGCGGGCGGGCCAUGGGGACGCUCCUCCGGCCGGGGCCCGCCGCGGCCGCCGCGUCGCCAAUCUCCAUCGCCUCCUCCUCCUCGGCCCACGCGGUGGCUGGCGGGGGACGCGCAUGGAGCUCGCGGCAUCGGGUGUCGGUGGUAGCCUUCCGGUCCCCGAGCCCGCAGGUUCUGGCGAUGAGGUGGCGGCGUCGGAGAGAUACGGCUGUGCUCUCGGAUGCUGUCGCCGGUGGCGCGGCCGCCGCCGCAGCAGGGGAUUCCACGCAGGCGCUGUCAGACCUGCAAGUGGCUUCAAGAGUCAGAGGGGCUUGCUUCUAUUUGGUGACUGCAGUUGCAGCAAUCUUUUUGUUUGUAGCUAUGGUUGCGGUUCAUCCACUCGUGUUGCUACUUGAUCGGUACCGCAGAAGAGCGCAGCAUUACAUUGCGAAAAUUUGGGCUACUUUGACGAUUUCCAUGUUCUACAAGCUCGAGGUUGAGGGAAUGGAGAAUCUACCUCCAAAUAGCAGCCCUGCUGUCUAUGUUGCUAACCAUCAGAGCUUCUUGGAUAUCUAUACCCUUCUAACUCUAGGGAGGUGCUUCAAGUUUAUAAGCAAGACCAGUAUCUUUAUGUUUCCUAUUAUAGGGUGGGCAAUGUAUCUCCUGGGUGUGAUUCCUCUGCGGCGUAUGGACAGCAGAAGCCAGCUGGAUUGUCUCAAACGGUGUGUGGACUUGGUUGGAAAAGGAGCUUCCGUAUUUUUCUUUCCCGAGGGGACUCGAAGUAAAGAUGGCAAGUUAGGUGUAUUUAAGCGAGGCGCAUUCAGUGUUGCCACAAAGACCGGUGCUCCUGUGAUACCUAUUACUCUUAUCGGGACUGGGAAAUUGAUGCCUUCUGGAAUGGAAGGCAUCCUCAAUUCAGGUUCAGUAAAGGUUAUUAUUCACCGACCUAUUCAAGGGAAUAAUGCAGAAACAUUAUGUUCCGAAGCAAGGAAUGUGAUAGCAGACACUCUUCUUCUACAUGGUUAUGGAGUGCGCUAAAGCAAUUGGGUGCUUUGGUCUAUUUCCAGGAAGACAUUCCAAGGCAAGUACUUGAGGCAAAGCUUGUUGCCAGGAUGUAAAUGCAGGAGGGAGAAAAAAAAAAGGCUGGAACUCGAUUGGUAGUUGUAGCUUGUGGUCCAAUGUUGUAAUCCCCUUUCAAUCACUGCGUUCGGCUAGUCUUCUCCUCUCCAGCGCUACAGUAAUUUCUUCUCACACCACUCCAGCCACCAGCUCCAGCCAGCCCAACAAUAUUUUUCUCUCACCCUAUUCCAGCUCCAGCCUGCCGAACGCAGAGAUGACCACAUGGAAAAGGCAGAGAGGUCAUCUUCAUUCGAUGGAAAAUAAAGCCCAUGUGAAAUUUGCCAUUUUUGCAAUGGAAUUCCCCCCUUGGUUUGGACCUGGACUGGCCAGCCGGGGACUUCGAAAAGUAGUUUGGUUCAAAGUCGAACAUGGGAGCAUCAAUGCCCCCUUCUUUUACUGGAUCUUGAUGUAGCCGGCCGAAGGCUUCCUAACAAGACUUGUCGGUUGCCUACUUUGCAGCUUUGCCGGUGUCUGGUUCCGAACUGAAUCGUUCUUUUAUCUUCGCUUUUCUCAAUUGUUUUUUAUCUAUUUAUUUCUUUUCUUGCUUUUGUAUGAAUCAGUGGUUUAAUCGCUUUAUGAUUAUCAAUGAAUAUAUAAGGUAGAGGAUCGUA